rnacentral:rRNA from 1 species
UACGGAGGGCUCAAGCGUUGUUCGGAUUCAUUGGGCGUAAAGGGUGCGUAGGUGGCGCCGUAAGUCAGGUGUGAAAUCUCGGAGCUCAACUCCGAAACUGCACUUGAUACUGCGGUGCUCGAGUACUGGAGAGGAGAUUGGAAUUUACGGUGUAGCAGUGAAAUGCGUAGAUAUCGUAAGGAAGACCAGUGGCGAAGGCGAAUCUCUGGACAGUUACUGACACUGAGGCACGAAGGCCAGGGGAGCAAACGGG